GUGGGAGCCGUGGAGGGCACUUUCCCAGUCCCCGAGGCGGAUCCGGUGUUGCAUCCUUGGAGAGAGCUGAGAGCUGGAGUACAGAACCUGCUAAGGCCAUCAAACCUAUUGAUCGGAAGUCAGUCCAUCAGAUUUGCUCUGGGCAGGUGGUACUGAGUCUAAGCACUGCGGUGAAGAAGAUAGUAGAAAACAGUCUGGAUGCUGGUGCCACUAAUAUUGAUCUAAAGCUUAAGGACUAUGGAAUGGAUCUCAUUGAAGUUUCAGGCAAUGGAUGUGGGGUAGAAGAAGAAAACUUUAAAGGCUUAACUCUGAAACAUCACACAUCUAAGAUUCAAGAGUUUGCCGACCUAACUCGGGUUGAAACUUUUGGCUUUCGGGGGGAAGCUCUGAGCUCACUUUGUGCACUGAGUGAUGUCACCAUUUCUACCUGCCACGUAUCGGCGAAGGUUGGGACUCGACUGGUGUUUGAUCACGAUGGGAAAAUCAUCCAGAAAACCCCCUACCCCCACCCCAGAGGGACCACAGUCAGCGUGAAGCAGUUAUUUUCUACGCUACCUGUGCGCCAUAAGGAAUUUCAAAGGAAUAUUAAGAAGAAACGUGCCUGCUUCCCCUUCGCCUUCUGCCGUGAUUGUCAGUUUCUUGAGGGCUCCCCAGCCAUGCUUCCUGUACAGCCUGCAAAACUGACUCCUAGAAGUACCCCACCCCACCCCUGCUCCUUGGAGGACAACGUGAUCACUGUAUUCAGCUCUGUCAAGAAUGGUCCAGGUUCUUCUAGAUGAUCUGCACAAAUGGUUCCUCUCCUCCUUCCUGAUGUCUGCCAUUAGCAUUGGAAUAAAGUUCCUGCUGAAAAUCCACAUCUCCCCUGGGUCCGGUGUUCUGGAAGUGAGAGAGACAAUGUCACACUUCAAGGAGGCAGCUCUCUAGACAGGAAGGUUAUUCACGUCCCAUGUCAAGUCUAGCUAGAGUUCAGAGCAAUUGAGAAGUGCAAUUUUAUCUCCUGCCUUUCAUUCUAUACCCUGCUUCUGAACCAUCGUGUUCAACUGUGAAACUCACACUUUGGUGACCCUGACUCCAAAACUUAAUACACCCAAGGUCAGCCCCAGUGAUCUGCUUCAUAGCAAGGACUUUGGGUGGGUCUUCCCAGGGAGUAGGGCACCCUCAGAGAAUGUGGCUUUGGACUUCAUCACAGCUGGGGCCUUUUGUGUCACUUCAGAUCUAAACUUGUAACCGUGCUAGAUCUGUUUCUAAUGUGACAACAUCACGAACCACGAGUCCAGAAGCCUAAUCCAUAAUCCUCCCUCCUCAUGACAAAGUCUCAUGCUCUGUGCUC